rnacentral:rRNA from 1 species
CCCUUAGAUGUUCUGGGCCGCACGCGCGCUACACUGAUGCAUUCAACGAGUUUCUUCCUGGUCCGAAAGGAAUGGGUAACCUUUUGAAAGUGCAUCGUGAUAGGGAUAGACUAUUGCAAUUAUUGGUCUUCAACGAGGAAUUCCUAGUAGACGUAGUUCAUCAGACUGCAUCGAUUACGUCCCUGCCCUUUGUACACACCGCCCGUCGCUCCUACCGAUUGAAUGCUCAGGUGAGCCAUUCGGACUUUCAUCAUGCUGGUUUCCAGUUUUGAUGAAGGAAAGUCUUGCGAACCUUAUCAUUUAGAGGAAGGAGAAGUCGUAACA